GGUAUUUAUUAUACAUGUAUAUUUUAGUGGGAAAAAUCUUGGCUUUUAAGAGGUUAUAAAAAUUUUAUUCGCAGUAUUUAGUUUUAAAUAUUUAGGAAACUAAGAUUUAGUUAUUUAUUAAAGUAUUAACAAAAUUUGUGCCAGCAGUUGCGGUUAUACAGAUAAUACAAUUAAAUUUUUUUGGUAAGUAGUUAAUUAAAAUUUAUUUUAGGAAAAAUUUAACUUUGGGAGGUGAAAUUUUAAGGUUAAUGAUAGCUUAGAAAAAAAAUUAUGAGACUACGAAAUUUUUUUUUAAACUAGGAUUAGAUACCCUAUUAUUUUGAAUGUAAAUUUUUUUACCGGAUUAGUAUUAGUUAUGCUCUUGAAAAUAAAAGAUUUUGGCGGUAUUUUAGUCUUUUCAGAGGAACCUGUUCUGUAAUUGAUAAUCCACGAUUAAUUAUACUUAAUUUAUUAGUUUGUAUAUCGUCGUCGUUGAAUAUUUUAGAAGAAAGUAAAUGUUCAUUUUUUUUUUUAUUAAAAAUAAAAAUCAGAUCAAGAUGCAGCUUAUAAUUAAGAAGAAAUGGGUUACAAUAAAUUUAUUUAUAUGGUUUAUGAUUUGAAAAAUUUUAUUAAAUUGGAUUUGAAAGUAAAUAUUUUUAUAUUAAGAUAUUGAUUUAGCUCUAAAAUAAGUACAUAUUGCCCGUCGUUUUCAUUUAAGAUGAAAAAAGUCGUAACAGAGUAGGUGUACUGGAAAGUGUGCCUAGAAAGA
rnacentral:ncRNA from 1 species